rnacentral:misc_RNA from 1 species
GAUAAGGGGAAACCAUGGGCAUCGCUUGAUGAAAAUGUUAGCAUUGAACUUUCAAUGAGUUUUCCUCUUUAGCUAACCAAUUUAAAACCACACCAAUUACAGCAUGUUCACCUUGUGUGAUCCUGACAAUGGCAUCUCUUUAUGCCAGGCCAGCAGGCCAGGCCAAGCCAAAGCAUGGCUUGCAGCGGCAAAACAGGAUAAGAAUUCACUUAGAUGUUAAGCGUAGGAAAUGAACUUACCUUUCAACAAUUCCAGGCAAUGUGCUGUAGCUAAAGCCAGAAGAACUCACAAAUCUACCUUACAUUCUCCUGCUCAAAACUGAAUUCUCUCUCAACCAGUCUAUCCAGUGAUUUGAAACCCAUAAUAUGCUAACCAAAAUUGCAGUUACUA